GACGAACGCUGGCGGCGGGCUUAACACAUGCAAGUCGAACGGAAAGGCCCGGCUUUUUUGGGGUGCUCGAGUUGCGAACUGGGGAGUAACACGUGAGUAACCUGCCCUUGACUUUGGGUUAACUUCAGGAAACUUGGGCUAAUACCGGAUAGGAUCUCCUGCUGCUUGGUGGGGGUUGGAAAGUUUCGGUGGUUGGGGAUGGACUCGCGGCUUAUCAGCUUGUUGGUGGGGUAGUGGCUUACCAAGGCUUUGACGGGUAGCCGGGCUGAGAGGGUGAGCGGCCACAUUGGGCCUGAGAUACGGCCCAGACUCCUAAGGGAGGCAGCAGUGGGGAAUAUUGCAUAAUGGGAGGAAGCAUGAUGCAACAACGCCGCGUGCGGGAUAACGGGCUUCGGGUUGUAAACCGAUUUCGCCUGUGCCGAAGCGUGAGUGACGGUAAUGGGUAAAGAAGCACCGGCUAACUACGUG
rnacentral:rRNA from 1 species